GGUACUCCUUUGGGCACCAAGAUACAGGAGCAGGGUUGCUGCUGACCCAGUCCUUAGGGAGAGAUUCACGAAGGUUCUGCUCAAUGACAUUUUGAUCCAUGGAGACAAAGUUCCUGAAUAACCCUGAAGAUGAGAGAGAGAGAGAGAGAAAGAGAGAGAGAGAGAGAAAUCAGCAACCACCAUUUGUGUGAACUUGCAUUUCCUGUUGGGAGCAAAGUGGCAAUGUAUACACUACUUCUAUGCCCAGCACUGAAAAGUACUUUGGAUGCAACUGAACUCCAAUAUGUAUAGGUCUGUGAAUGAUUUGGUAUCACAAUGAUGCUAGAGCACUGCUGAAGCAAAGUGAGCCUGAAACUGAUCAGCGUACCAAAAACCAGCGUGGUGUAGUGAUUACAGCAGGCAGAUGCAAACUGUGGCCCAUCAGAUAUUGCUGAACUACAACUCCCAUCAUCCCAGGCCAUUGGCCAUGAUUAAGGGAGCUGGUGAAAGUUGUAGUUCGUCAACAUUGAGAGGGCCAAAUGUUGCCUGCCCCUGGAUUAGAAAAUAAGACUAAGGCAAAGGGGGACAACCUUCAGCCCUUGCUCUAAUUUCAUGCAGGUGGUGGAGGACGACCCAACAGAGAAUGAUGGAAGGGUGGCGGAAUCCACUGCAAGCAAUCAGAUCAGACCUUUGACAAGAGUGAUCCAUCUCUACUGGUGGCUGGGGGGAAAUGUUCCCCAACCCUGUGCUUAAGGGUUCAAAUGCCCAAACUAGCUGUGAAGUUAAUUUAUUUACUUGGGAGACAGCCACUCUACUGCUAUUUGGUGUCACACUCACUAUCUUUCCACCUAAUCUAUUUUACAGUGUUGCUGGGAGGACAAAAUGGUGCCUGUGUGUAAAAAGCAUGUGUUUGUACAUGGCAGAACAUUUACACUGGUGGCAGCCAGCCUGGUGCCCUGUGGAUGCUGUGGAUUACCAUCCCCAUAAUCUCUGACCAUUGGCCAUACUGGCUGAGGCUGAAGGAAGUUGAAGUCUAGCAUGGCCAGUGAAAAUAGGAGUUGUAGUCUAACAGCAUCUGAAGGACACCAGGGUGGGGAACCCAUAAAACACCAGAAGCUGAUCAUGGUGCACCCAGGAAACUGAAAGUCUCACCCUUUUCUGCAAUUGUUUGCAGAUGCUUCAGCAGCUCAGGGUUUAGAUCCUUGGGCAAGAACCGGUGAGCCAGGCCAGGCAACAGGAUCCUGCAAAAUCGGCAGAAAGAAACCACAGGUUUCCCUCCUGAGUGACACUGCAUUGUUGUGGCAUCUGCCUGGACAAUUUAGUAUUCAAAGGACCCUGGGCUGCCACUACUGACCCAGCUUGGCUAUUGGAUCCUACUGGCCAGCAAAAACUGCAGCAAAAAGGGCAACAGAGUGGUGAGGAUCACAGCACAAGCCUCAGGGGGAGAGAAAGUGCUGAAGGUAAGCAUGUUUUUGUUCCUGUAACAACUGCCCAACAGACAGAAUGAAGAAGAAGCCCUGCUGGAUCAGACCAAAUGGCCAUUUAAUACAGCCUUCUCACAGCGGCCAACCAGAUGCCUGUAGAACAUAAGCACAAAAGCCCUCUCCCCAUUUCUGCUCCCUGGCAACUGAUAUUUCGAGAGACCAUAAAGAAGAGCCCUGCUUACGGAUUGAGCCAAAGGGUCUUUGGGUUGCCACACUUUGAAGAGAAAAAAAGAGGACAUAUUUGCCGACAUCUACUUUUAACUAUUUGAGGGACGCGGGUGGCGCUGUGGGUUAAACCACAGAGCCUAGGAGUUGCCAAUCAGAAGGUCAGCGGUUCGAAUCCCCGUGAAGGGGUGAGCUCCCAUUGCUUGGUCCCUGCUCCUGCCCACCUAGCAGUUCAAAAGCACGUCAAAGUACAAGUAGAUAAAUAGGUACCGCUCUGGCGGGAAGGUAAACAGCGUUUCCAUGCACUGCUCUGGUUCAACAGAAGCGACUUAGUCAUGCUGGCCACAUGACCUGGAAGCUGUAUGCCGGCUCCCUCUGCCAAUAAAGCGAGAUGAGCGCCGGAACCCUCAGUCACGACUGGACCUAAUGGUCAGGGGUCCCUUUACCCUUUACCUUUACUUUUAACUAUGGAUCUCUAUGGCGACUCUCAUAAUGAAAAAGAGGACCUGUCCUGGAAAAAGAGAGUAUAUGGCAACCCAGCAUCCUGUAAUCACAGUGGCCAACCAGAUGCCUGUGGGAAGCAGGGAAGCAGAGCCUGAUUGUAGAAUAUUAGCCACGAAUAGCAUGCUCCUCCAUGGAUUUGUCCGACUCACUUUUAAAUGUUGGCUUUUUGCAGUUUAGUAGCGCUGGGGAGA